AAUGUCCUGUAGUUCAGAAGGGUAGUUUACACGGCAAAAAAUGACUUUCUUACUCAGUAUUUUUAUCUUGUUUUCUAGUAUGAAUAUCUAAACAGUCUUAAAUCAAGAUACGUUUACUUGGGAAGCAAAAUAACUUGAGAUAUUAGCUCAUGUUUUCUAAGAAAAUUAUGAAAAUUAAGUGAAUUUUCUAUUUACUGCAAAAAGUCAACAUUUGAAGUGGAUCAAAAACUUUCAUCAAAGUUUUCCAAAAACCUAAAACCAAAACGCGUUCUUGUCUUAGGACAACUUUAAUGUAAAUUUUUUGAUCCACUUCAAAUGUUGAUUAUUGUAUUUGCAAUUGUGGUCAGAAAACUAAACUUUAUUCAAAUUAGUUUUAUUUUUAUGAUACCUUGCAGAUAUUUUUUUUUCUUUUUUAACUGCAGAGCAUCCAUUGCUGAGACACUGAUGCAAUGCUACGUUUCUACAAAUCUGAUGAAGAAACAAACUCAUCUACAUGUCGUAUGACCUGAGGGUGACUACAUUUAAAUGCUCAUUUUUGGGUGAACUAUUCCUUUAAAGCAUGAUACAAGCUGAGUCAUGAGGAAUCUGAACCCCUUGAACAUGCACAGCAAAACACUGACAUUAAAAUAGAGCUCAGCUCGUGCAUAUAAUCAAAGGCAUGCACUGCUCCAUCCAACAAUCUGCCGUGUGCCUUCAGGAGCAGCUCAUCGACCGUCCAAAACCGCAGACCUGAUCUAAACAACAAAUUUUCAUUAGCAGAGUCACAACAAAUCUGGCCGUGGAUCCAGUCCCAGCGUAUACGAGCCGCUCCAUUCUGUUAUCGUGAACCGCCCAAAACACUCUGAGCUGAAACAGCUGUGAAGAAUUGAGAUUUCCACACUGGGCUGGAGAAACAGAUGCAAGUUCUGCUGCAGGUACAGUAGAGGUUCUGGCCAGCGGAAACAAUCGUGUGUUUGUGCCCUUGAACCUGUUUUAAAGGAUCACGCUUAUCAGUUCAGUUAUGAGCGGAUUACCGUAUGCAAUAUGAGAGCCUUCACUGUUCAGCAGCUACUUGUGUGUGUCAACCGGAGAUUUAGGACAACGUUGUUAUUAUACUGACUGAAGAAUCUGACCAAAGUAAAAUGCUACAAAUAUCUAAACAUUCAUCUUCUGCAAAAUGAGAUUUUUAUUAAACUCUGUUUCUCCUGGACUGCACAAUUAAUUCGGAUUCAUUAUGCUUUCAAAAGGUCAUGCAAACAGAAAAAUGAAAACACUUUAACUGUGCCAAAUCAUUUCUAGUUAGAUGGUAAAAAAUUAUUUUUCAAAGCUGUAAAUAAGAUUACUGGGGUAUGUUUUUCAAGAAAAUACUAUUUUAUUCUUUUUACUUCAAAAUGUCAUAUAUAUAUAUAUAUAUCUCCUCAUACAUAAUGUGUUACUUGCCAUUUCUUUGUCUUUUUAUUUAUUUAUUUAUUUAUUAACUUACUUAUUGUAAGAUUUACUAGUAAUUUCUAAGUGAAAAUGUUUCAAAGUAAAUCACUACACUGUAAAAAAAAAUUGAAUACAUUUUACAACAAAAUAUUUCAGUCAUUUUACUUAAAAAUCUUACAUGCAAUUCAAUGAGUUACUUGCUGUUUGAAUAUUAUAUAUUUUUGAAGUUAUAAAUAAAAUAAAGAUUAUUGUCUAGCAUAAAAAAAAUUAUAUUUCAGGUUUUCUAAAAUUUCACAUUUAAUUCAUUGUGUUACUUGCCGUUUGUUUGUAAUUAUAUGUGAAAUUUACCAGCAAUUUCUGAGUGAAAAUUGUUUCAACACGGGAGGAAAAAUUCCAAGUUGUAAAUAAAACAAAUAUAACUGGAGUAGGUUUCACAAGAAAAAUACUAUUUCAGUCUUUCUGCUUUGACAUUUCAUGUUUAAUCCAAUGGGUUACUUGCAAUUAUUAUUAUUAUUUUUUUUAAAUGUAACCAUUUGUGAGUGAAAAUUAUUUAAACAAUAAAUAAAGAUUAGAGUAUGUUUUACAAGAAAAUACUAUUUCAGUCUUUCUAAUUGACAAUUUCAGGUUUAAUCGAAUGUGUUUUGCUGUUUCUUUGUAAUUAUUUGUGAAAUUUAGUAAUUUGUGCUCAUAUGAACACAUGCAAAAUGUAUCUGUUGUUUUGAUAAUGAGCUUUCAUUCUCACCAGAGCAACCAUGCAUUAGUUCUUAAAUCUGAAAGUGCUGAAAGUGAAAGUUCAAAAGAGGCUUUUCUUGAAAACUCCCGUCGAACCGCGAGAUUGCCGUCUCUGUCUUUCUCUAUAAAGUCACACUAGAGCACAGCGCUGAUAGUGAGAAGGUCGACGACGAGUAAGAACGCAGCAUCAGUGCCAGCGAGGGCUGAUAACAGCCGAGACGGAAGACGGGCCUCCUCAUCCAUCACAGAGAGAGCGUUUGACCUCCUGAUCAUUAAAAACUUCAGCGCACAAAUGUGAACGGGAAGCAGAAGACACACAAGAAG
ensembl:lncRNA